CGAAAUAUUUAAAAAAAUGCACGUAUUUAAAGUAUAUAAAACACAAGUAUUUUCUAUAUGACUGUACAUCUCACUUGAUUUGAAAUCAAACUUGUGGUGAAACAUUUACAGAUUUUUUAAAGCAACUCACAAAAUGUAUCUGAUUCCCGCUGUUCUACUCCUGAGUUUAGCCUCAGCUGUAAAUGGCGUUGACUUUGCAACAUGUGCGCAGGAGUUUUCUCAAAAAGUGACCCCUCGUAUUGAACAAGGUAGAGUCAGCUUUCUACAGUCAUCCACCUACACGGCUGCGGCAGGUGGGUUUAAGAAAGUUGUCAAUAAGGUCAACUUCACAACCCCUUUCAGUACCCCACCAGCUGUUAUUGUCACAUUAGAAGUUCUCGAUUUAGUUAAAACCGGCGACACAAGGUUUUGGGUCCAUACAGGCGAGAUCACCAACACCGGCGCUGAGAUUGUUUUUGAAACAUGGGGUGACACCGAUAUCAGAGGAGGGUGGAUCCACUGGUAUGCCUUCAGGGUAUAGACGUUAAAGAAGCGUCAAUGUUUUGGUGCUUGUUUCGUGACGUCUAGAAUACAAGUAGUCGUUAACAUUUAGUGAUACUACUCAGAUCCAUCUGACGUUACCUAAUAAUAAACGUG